CUUGAAGUGUUGUUGUAGUGUUUGCCAACAUUAGCCAACUAUGUAGCAAGCUAACUCAGCAAAAAUGCUGCAAAUGACACCUUUUGAUAGAAACAUUUCUGCUGUUAAAGGUUUUAAUAAAUGCAGGACUGCACUCACGCCGAAUGUUUCAGCAGCUCAGUUUAAAAUAUUUAUUGACGGCAGUGAAAUCUUUGUCAAGUGACAGCAAGGUCUCUGUAUAAGACGUGACACCUUGCUGACAUCAGCACGUGAGUUUAAAAACUGUGCUGUUCAAGCUUUCCCCCCUGGCCGGGCCCCCGACUAUGAAUAGACACCGACUGUAGCUACAUGGUGGUGAUUCUGUCGUUUGUCAGCCCUCAGUUGUAGAUCCAUUUGGUAAAAUUUGUGGGGCAAAGAGCUGAAUUUUUCCAUAUAAAUCAGAUUUAUCUGAGAUGCUUUUGCGUUCAGCCAAAACUGUUUCCUUUCAGUUUGGUUGUGGCACACCGUGAUGAAGGAUUAAUAGCGCUUUAUUAGGCUGGGACUCUGCCUUUCUGCAGACGAGCGCCGUCUUAAGUUUAACAUAGUACAUCUUAUGAUUAAAGCAGGGGAGGAUGUCCUAAAUGGCCACCUUGCAUGUAUUAUAUUUAAUAGGCCUAUCUUAAUAUUAAUUGCCAUUAAUUUACCUCUUGCCAUUAGUUAUGGAUAUGUUAUGGGUUUUUUCCCGGCGACAUUGACUAUCUGGGCUUCUGGCUUUGCAUUUCCGAGUCUCUCAUUUUCUGUCACCUUUUCAGGCUGAGGAUGUUCAGACAAAAUACUCCCAUCAGAGGACCGAGGAGAAGGGAGCAAACAAGACUUGCAACUUUCAGAGUUGGUCUCCUCCUCCAUCCUGAUAUGGAAACAUUCCACCCACAAAAAGUUCCCUUUUCCUCACGCUUGCGCACACACCUGCUGCAAACACAGCGGCGUGCCCCGCCUCUCUCCGCCUCUCUCCUCCAUCUCUCUCCCUGGAUGCGUCUGCUCCGCGGAAGCUUAGAAGAAAAGUUAAGGUGCCAGUGUCCUUGUCUGCUGAGGAGUUCAACGCUGUCCUCAGAAAUGCGUUUCCAAGAGUGGGCGACACUGAUUUUGAGUUGGCAAGAGUAGAUUGUCAUAAAGAAACCACAAGACUUCAAGUUUGUCCACUAUCACCAUCUGUGCUGAAAGCCAGCAGAGAGCUGAAUCGAUCAGCUUUAUAUAUAUACUCCCAAAGGAUGCAGAAGAGGUCUCGAACUCUGGCCAAAACCUGGACCAAGAUGAUAUGGGCACCCAUUUUAAGCUCUUUCUAGGCUUGUUGUAUAUUUCAUAAUGGCAUAUUGCAUCUUUGGCCAACAAAUGGGGCGUUCUGGUAUUUUGAAGGAUGUACAGGAGGUCCAUACUUCACAAAACUGCCUGGAGAGACCUAAUACAAUGGCGAGGGAUGAUUUACAUGAGUGGCGUGCACUUCACAAGACAAGAUGAGGAAUACAUACAAAGUCUGCAAACUGAGCAGGAAAGGGACACUCUGGUUCCUGAAGAGACCC